UAUAUGGUUACUGAAGAAUGCAAAUAUUUUCAAAACGAACAUGGUUUUAAAUAGGUCUUUGCGCCAUUUGGCGCAACUGGUCAUCUAGUUGAACAUAUAAAGGAUGAGCUAGUGCGCCCAACUAGCGGCAUCAGCCACGUCUCCUUUUAUUCCCCUCAUAGUGCCUCGCGAUUUACUGUAGCGUUUCGGCGAGGACAAGUCCCGAGCGCUCUCCUCUUCCUUUCCCCUCGCUCGCUUCCUCCUCCCUCACCUGCAGAACCCUAGCCGCCUCCUCUCAUCUCCCCUAGCCGCCUCCUCUCCUCUCCCCAGCCGCGCCGCAAGGGAGCGUUGCGCGAGCUGCCCCGUGCUCGACGUGCACGUCCUCGGCCCCCGUGCCCCUCCGCUCUCUCCUCCCCCUCCCUGUCUCCAACGGAGCCGAGUCUCUCCGGCGGCGGCGGCGCUCGAUUUGAUCUGCAGGAGAGAGAGAGAGAGAGAGAGAGAGAGAGAGAGAACAUGAGAAGGGGAGAGAUAAGGAAGUAGAGGAGGGACGCCACCAUGGGAGAGCAGGGGCAACAUGGUCUUCGUGGUGGGCAUGGAGGAGCAUAGGAGGAUGCUGGUGCGGGGUGGGGUCAGAGUAGCAGGAGUUCCAGGUGAAGCUCGCGUCAUGGUGGAGUGGAGGAGCUCGUCGUACAUCGCCACCAUCCCCAAUCUAGAUCUGAGAUAUAAAAAGAAAAGAAAUAAUCUCGUGGAAUUUUAGAUCUGCAAUAGAAACGAAGAGAAAUAAUCUUGUGGAAGAGCCUGACUAAAAAGAAAGGGGUGAAUCAUCUGUUUCUCCCAUCCAUGUUUGUUUUUGCAAAUUUUGUUAAGAUGCAGGUUGGCUAUUCUUCCUUGUUGUCAGAAUCUGAAGUAUUUGACCAUCUGUAGCCACUUCUAUCAUGUGUCGUAUCCUUACUCUAUUUCAAGUUAGUUGUUGAUUCAAACAUGUCAAUGAAAGACAAUAAUGUUAAAUUGGUUCCCCAAAGGCCAAGGUGGUGAUGAUCACUUUGUGCUUCUUUUCCUUUCGUUAAAAAAUGAUUCCUCUGGUUGAUGUUGACGUAGGUUUUUAUGGUCAUGUCAACUGGUACUCCAACUGGCACUGAGAUGAGGUAAUGGUGUGGGAAUUGGGGCUGCAAGGACGUGAAAAUGGCCUAGAAGAGAGUUAGCAAUGGCAUGCGUCCUCAAGUAAUUUCUUGCCAAUGAUGAUGGGUGGCGAAUCCGGCAACCACAGAUCCAUUCCCCUGCAUAACUUUCGUUUUUUCAUUUGAUUUGGUACAAGGCCUACUCAGAAUGGGUUCCCUGAUCUCAAAAUUGUCAGUUUUCUUGCCUUUAGUUUAUAGGUACCUUAACAAAUACAUGUAUUUACCAUAUUGGCAGUCAGCACCAUACGGCAUUCAUUCUUCAAGAUCUCAUAUUUGAGGUUAGCAAUUCGAAGUAAUGUGAGAGCUUGCAUGUUUAUAGUUCUAACUAGCUUUUAGUUUAGCGUAGGAUAAAUCUUUCAUGAAUAGUUGGCUUUUUUUUGCUGGCUGUGCAUGACACUGCAAUUUUUUCAUAAUUUUCUUCAAAAAUUAACUAUUUUCUUAUCUCUGACAAUUAACUGGUUGUUGCUCCUAGCCGUUGGCAAGUCUGUCGUCCCUGACCACCCUGUCAGUCAUCUAUACAACUGUGGUUCAUGCCUGCGUGCUAUCCGCUCCUAAAUUCUCACACCAUGUCAAGUAUUUAGAAGUGAUGAUCAUUGUGGUCUUUAGUUGUCAUGGCUGUAAUCCUAGCGCAUGGGCUUUUGCGGGCUGGUCCAACCGGAGUUUGUUGAUGGUAGGGGCUGCGCUCCGGCGACCGUAUGGCUGUAGAAGGGAUGCAAAUGGAAAUAAUUUUGAGAUGCAUAAACUUCCGUCUUUGAAUCAGAAACAGAAAAUUGUUAGUUUUCUCGUUUCUUAGUUAUGCUACCCUGCUGCAUGUAGGUUUUACAGUGAAAAGCUGAAGAAGUUGUGACGACAAUGAAAGGACUGAAAGAUUUGCUCAAAGCAAAGACAUCUAGCCGAGAUACAUGUGGAACGAAGAGGAGGGAUCUUAUGUAGAAUAUGCGACUUCCUUGGUGCUGAAAGUGUGCUAUUAAGUCUCAGUUGCUCCUGCAAAAUAGGAUCUUAAUAAAUAAAGGAUAUGCAUCGCCAAGCAGUUUGUUGUGUAUUUUUUCCCCUUCCAACCUUAUUGAUAUGCCUGUUGCUCAAGGUGUUUUUACUUGUUUACAUGAUUAACAAGUGAAUAUAAAUUUGAAACACAAGUUAAUAAAUUUAGCGCAGUCCUUGCUGAAAUCCGUAUUAUUAUAUGUUGACUUUCCUUUGAAUAAUAUAAGCUGGUCUUGUUGCCGCAAAUGAUUGGAUACGCUUAAUUAUUUUUCAUGCAUACAAGUUGAUUUGGUUAUCCUGUAAUACAUUAUUACAUUUAGUUAAAAAUUUAUGUUUUGUAAUUCAGAUAGGAAACAAUGGUAUGUGAUAAUGCCCUUGCUUCUGACAGGGCCCCUUUUUUUAGUCAUUCAUAUAUGUGUGGGAGGGCUGGCUGUCCACCAUUUGAUGAUAGUAGAAUAGUUGUAAUUAUGACAAGAUGAGGGGCAGUAAUUUUUCUGUGUUUUCUUCCCGUUAAUUCUGAAAUACCUUUGACAUGAAAAUGUUUCCUGUUUUUUGUCUAACCCGUCGUAAGUUUGUCUCGUGGGUCCAUCCAUAUGAGAACCUUCUCAGUGGGUGUCAAAUGGUUGAGUCUCGGUAUGUUCUUUUAAGUUCAAUUGAAAAGUUCUUACGUGAUAUUUUAACUGAAACUUAACUAUGUCAUGGAUGGUACUUCAUUUGAUAUUUUAACUGAAACUUAACUAUGACCAGACCUUCGUCUUGAUUCUUAAUGCCUUCUUCGUUUUAGUCUCCAUCUACAUGUGCAAUUCAUUAUUUUCCUAGAGAUGUCUAUAUAACUGUAUCAUACAUUUUUCCUGCUAUGUAAAUAACACUUCCCUUGGCUUUGGCGGAGGUGGUGCAGGAUUCGUCGCACGCCAAACAGAGCACCCGAGGAGAAGAGGAGAAUGCUAUGAAGAGAGGAAAUGAUAUGUUUUUUGUUUUGUUUUAAGAGCAAGAUAAGAGUUGAUAUGUAGUCCCCUGACUUCUGUACUGAUCCACAACACUUCAAG